AUGGCUGGCCAUCUGGUGCUUCUUGCAAUCAAAUAUCUCACAAUUAACAGUAAUUUACUUGCCCUGAGACUUCCACGAUCUUUGCAUGUUUUUUUUUUCCUUCAGCCCUCGUACGUGUGGUCCCCCUGGAGCACUGCUGGGAGUAAGCCGAGCCCUGAGCUGCCCAUAGGAUGUCCUGGUGCCAAAUGGUGUGGGGGUCCUGCUGGGUUUUCUGCUUAUACCCCCAAAAUCAGAGGCAGGCAGCGUGUCUUCUGCUUCUCAGGCCCUGGAAGAACCACAUUUGGGAGGUGACAUUGGAAUUGGAGACUGGUGGCAGCCCCUUCAAUAACUUCAGGUCUGUUUUGAAUAUGUCCUUGCCCAACCACCUCUGUAGCUUAAUAGUAUGAAUAGUGAACAUGAAUAAAUGAAUUCCAGAUGACA
rnacentral:lncRNA from 1 species